rnacentral:rRNA from 1 species
CGUGGAGUGAUUUGUCUGGUUUAUUCCGAUAACGAGCGAGACUCUAACCUACUAAAUAGUUGGUACAUACUCUUAGUGUAUACAGCUUCUUAGAGGGAUAAGCGGUGUUUAACCGCACGAGAUUGAGCGAUAACAGGUCUGUGAUGCCCUUAGAUGUCCGGGGCUGCACGCGCGCUACACUGGAGAAUUCAGCUGGUCUUCCAUUGCCGAAAGGUAUUGGUAAACCGUUGAAACUUCUCCGUGACCGGGAUAGGGAAUUGUAAUUAUUUCCCUUGAACGAGGAAUUCCUAGUAAGUGUGAGUCAUCAGCUCACGCUGAAUACGUCCCUGCCCUUUGUAC